CUUAUUCACUGCGUACAGAAUCAGCCGUCUUAUCAUUCCAUCUUAGCAGACAUGGAGGCCAAACUGAUCGUGGCAGUUGUGUUCGUCUGUGCCGUUUGUCACGUCACUGAAGCCCAGCUGCAGACAACGACAUCACUCGGUACCAACAUCACUCUUACUGGUUGUGGCAGCACUAAGCUGUGUGUGUCGACUCCAUCUAAUUGCGAUCCUGCAGGAAACUCCAGCUGUUUUUUCAGCUCUACUCAGCUCAGUAAUGCAGAACUAACCGUGGAACUCUCCGGCACGACUUCAGGAUAUGUGGCGCUGGGACUCACACCCACUAGCAGCCAAACCCAGCAACUAAUUCAAGUAAAAUGAUCAACUCAGAACCACUUUUAUU
ensembl:lncRNA